GGUAUAUAUGCUCAGUUGGUUAGAGAGCAGCGCUGAUAAUGCCGAGGUUGCAGGUUCGAUCCCUGUGUAUUCCU